rnacentral:rRNA from 1 species
GACGAACGCUGGCGGCGUGCUUAACACAUGCAAGUCGAACGGAAAGGCCCUGCUUUUGUGGGGUGCUCGAGUGGCGAACGGGUGAGUAACACGUGAGUAACCUGCCCUUGACUUUGGGAUAACUUCAGGAAACUGGGGCUAAUACCGGAUAGGAGCUCCUGCUGCAUGGUGGGGGUUGGAAAGUUUCGGCGGUUGGGGAUGGACUCGCGGCUUAUCAGCUUGUUGGUGGGGUAGUGGCUUACCAAGGCUUUGACGGGUAGCCGGCCUGAGAGGGUGACCGGCGACAAUGGGACUGAGAGACGGCCCAGAAUGCUACGGGAGGCAGCAGGGGGGAACAUUGCACAAUGGGCGGAAGCCUGAUGCAGCAACGCCGCGUGCGGGAUGACGGCCUUCGGGUGGUAAACCGCUUUCGCCUGUGACGAAGCGGGAGUGACGGUAAUGGGUAAAGAAGCACCGGCUAACUACGUG